GUCCAGGGUAGCCUAGUGGUCAUGGCAUCUGCCCGGUAAGCGGAAGGUCGUGGGUUCGAUUUCCAUAUCUUGACA